rnacentral:rRNA from 1 species
UACGGAGGGUGCAAGCGUUGUCCGGAUUCAUUGGGUUUAAAGGGUGCGCAGGCGGGCCAUUAAGUCAGGGGUGAAAGACGGUUGCUCAACAAUCGCAGUGCCUUUGAUACUGGUGGUCUUGGGUGACCUUGAGGUAGGCGGAAUGGGUGGUGUAGCGGUGAAAUGCGUAGAUAUCUGGAGGAACACCGGUGGCGAAGGCGGCAUCCUGGACCAACACUGACGCUGAUGAGCGAAAGCCAGGGGAGCAAACGGG